rnacentral:rRNA from 1 species
UACGUAGGGUGCGAGCGUUGUCCGGAAUCACUGGGCGUAAAGGGUGCGUAGGCGGGUCUUUAAGUCAGGGGUGAAAUCCUGGAGCUCAACUCCAGAACUGCCUUUGAUACUGAGGAUCUUGAGUACGGGAGAGGUGAGUGGAACUGCGAGUGUAGAGGUGAAAUUCGUAGAUAUUCGCAAGAACACCAGUGGCGAAGGCGGCUCACUGGCCCGUAACUGACGCUGAGGCACGAAAGCGUGGGGAGCAAACAGG